CUCCACGGCCAUACCAGCCUGUGUACGCCCGAUCUCGUCUGAUCUCGGAAGCUAAGCAGGGUCGGGCCUGGUUAGUACUUGGAUGGGAGACCGCCUGGGAAUACCAGGUGCUGUAAGCA
rnacentral:rRNA from 1 species